CCCCGGCCGGGUGCCGGAGCCCUGUGGCGUGCGAGGCCGGUGCGGACGCCUUGAACUACCUGUCAUUUACUCCAGUGUCCAUAGUGAUGCUACAGGACAGAGUGGAAUGGAUAAAAACAUUGGCGAGCAACUCAAUAAAGCUUAUGAAGCCUUUCGGCAGGCAUGCAUGGAUAGAGAUUCUGCAGUAAAAGAACUACAGCAAAAGAAAGUGCUCUGAAGAACUAAAACACAGGGAUAUAUUAAUAGAUGAAAUUUAAGGAUUUUAUUUGCUAUCUUUUAAAAAAAAACCAUUGUGGAGUUCUCUUAUGGCAUGGUGGGUUAGGGAUCCAGAGUUAUCACAGCAGUACUGCAGUGGUGUGGGUGGGUUCUAUCCUUGCCCUGGGAACUUUUUCAUGCCGUGGGUGUGGCCAGUAAAUAUGGAAGUAACCAUUGUGACCAACAGGAAGAAUUCUUUUUUUUUUGUCUUUUUAGGGCCACACCUGAAACAUAUGAAAGUUCCUAGGCUAGGAGUUGAAUCAGAGCUGCUGCUGCUGACCUAUGCUACAGCCUCAGCAAUGUGGGAUCCAAGCUGUGUCUGUGACCUAUGCUGCAGUUUACAGUAAUGCUGGAUCCUAAACCCACUGAGUGAGGCCAGUGCAUCUUUGUGGAUACUUGUCAGGUUCUUAACCUGCUAAGCCUCAUGGGAACUCCAAGGAAAAAUUCAUUUUAAGGUGAUUGUAUUGAGGAAAGAUAAGAAUGUUCUCUUCCAUAAAUAAUUUUUAAAUAAAAUGACAAAUGGAAAGUCAGAAGUGUCACUGUCUCAGCUAGUUUUAUUUUUACAUUUUUAUUUGGCUGACAGGAAGCCUGUACAAAUCUUAAAAUAUCCUGAAACUAAGUUUUUAUUAAUUUAUAAUAGUCUUCCAUUAUUUAACUGUAACAGUUAAAAAUAAAGUGUUUCAGUGAAAUCCUUAAUGACUUACCAGAAGUUUAGCUUUUUAAAGUUAUUCCUGUACAUAUAAAAUGUCUAUUUAGUAAUUUCAGUUUCAAAAGAAAGUAAAUUGUAGGAAAGCUAUACCCAGACAAAAAUUAUUUGGUCUAGUUCCCGGGCACAUGUCUGUUAUUUGUCCAUGAUGAGAUUUUUCUCUGCUCUACAGCAAAAUGAGAAAAAUGAAAAUAAUGAGGUUUUUUUUUUUUAGUAAUGAACUUCUUAUAAUGCUAAAUUUAUCCGAUUUAAAAUUCUGUCCUUGGAGUUACUGGUUACUCAGCAGGUUAAGGAUCUGCUGUUGCCACUGCUGUGACACAUGUUCCAUCCCAGGCCAAGGAACUUUGCAUGCCUCAGGUACAACCAAAAAAAAUUUUUAUUUAAAAAUAAAAUUCUCUCCCUUGUCCUAAUAUUAUUCCCAUGUUUACAUACUGUUAGAAUAAAGAGCAAAAUUUUAUUAACAUAUACAGUCAAAUGAUAAUCUUGGAGUUUUUGUUUGCUUGUUCAAUAUCAUUACUUUGUGUUUUGGAAGUCCUCGAUACCACUUACACAUUCUAUGAUUCUCUAGAAGGACUCAACAGGACUUAGUAUACUGUCAUACUCAUAACUAAGAUAUAUUACAGUGACAUGGUAAAGAUACAGAGCUAGAUCAUUAAUGUAAAAGAUGCCAGAUGGAUCUAAAUAGAUCCAUGUUCAGAUUUCCUAUACUCUUUCCCUCCUGUGAAGGGUCACACAAUGCACCCCUUCUUCAGCUUCACUCAAUAGGAGUUCCUGUCAUGGCUCAGUGGAAAUGAAUCUGACUAGCAUCCAUGAGGAUGUGGGUUAGAUCCCUGACCUUGAAAAGUGUGUUAAAGAUCCGGUGUUGCCAUGAGUUUUGGUAUAGAUCACAGACACGGUUCAGAUCUGGUGUUCCUGUGGCUGUGGUGCAGGCCAGUGGCUACAGCUCCAAUUUGACCCCAUUUCUGGGAACUUCCAUAUGCCACGGGUGCAGCCCUAAAAAGACAAAAAAAAAAAAAUCAUUAAAAAAAACUGCACUCAACAAACAAAAAGUGUUUUGGCAUGGGGGACCCUAUUUGAGACUCAAGAGUUUGGGAUUUUUAUUAAGGGUUGGUUACAUAGGCACCUUCUGUCAACAAAAAUUUUAGAUUCUCAGAAGGAAAGUAAUUAUUCACCAUAAAUCUCACUGUGUAGUCUAAGUAGGCUGGCACAGUACUUAGAAAUUACCACUUAGGAAAUGUUUUUGAAUAUUAAUUUUCAGCCAGUGGUAAGCAACUAAAAAUGUCUGUAAUUUAAUCUCUUUUUGGCGUGGAAAAAACCUUUACUGACAGCAACAAUUAUCCUAAAGAAGGGAAAGGGAAGUAUUUUUUGUAUAUCUCAAGAAUAGGCGAAGAAAGGAGCUCCCGUUGUAUAUCCAGGCUUUACCAUGAAUUUUAGGUGGUGCCAGACUUGCCGAUUAUUUUUUUCAGCAACUUUCUUUAUAUAGAAGUGGAAGAAAGCGUUGGCGAAAUCCAAGAUUAAGAGAUUAUAGAGUAGUUGAGAGUAGAAGAAUUUCUGGUUAGGUAGCCAGAAAGUAAUACAAAAGCUAUUGAAAUUAUGUGCUUUGAGAUAUAAGCUAAAAUCAGAUAAAAGUAGUGUAGGAGUCUAAUAGAUUAAGAAUAAAAAGAGUAUGUAUGGCUGAAGUGUUCAUGAAGUGAGAGAAGCACAUACAGAAAAGCAGAAGAAUGUGAGAAUUCAAAAGAAUGGUUAUUGUCAAUGAGUAAAUAUUAAUGUUUAGGAUCUUCUGUCUUCAUAAUGAGUCGUGAAAGUGGGUAGCUGGAAUGAGAUUGAAAAAUUCCAGAAACUCUUUUUAACACUAGAGCAGUUCUCCUAGAAUGGUGGAAGAGCAUUUAGAGAGACUGUUGUGAAAGGAAGAGCAAAAUUCUUGAAUGUGAGGAAAUGACUAGUAUCUUGGGAGAAAACUGUUUUGAGGAAUGACUGUUAUAAUUGAAUUCCUUGUGGAUAGCCUUUUGCUUAAGUUUAAAGGAGUAAUGGCCCAGAUUGCAAUGAUGAAACAAUAUCAUACUUAUCUUUUUGUUCUACCGCAUCUAAUUCCAUCACCCAUUCCUUAGUAGGUUGAUAGGACACUAGAGAGCUUCAUAUGAGGGUAUUUCAGAGAUAUCUGUAUCCUCAGAAGACAACAUAGUUAUUCCCAUUUUAAUGUGAGAUGCCGGGCUUGGUGAAAUUCAGACUUACUAGCCGUUAUAUUACUUAUAGUACAAUGAAAAAAGAGUUCUAACACCUGAUCUUAUUCAUUAUAUUUUUUAAAGUCAACUUUUUUCUGAAAUAUUUUUGUGAGAAUAAUGCAUACUUUUUGACGUUUUUAAAAUUUUAUGGAACAUUAUUGUUUUUUAAAUUAUAGAAUUAUCAAAUGUACUAAGUGUAAAUCACUAAUUUGUCCUCAUCUAUCUACUCCCAGAAAUGAGGUUGAACUUUGAAAAGUUCAAUCAAACUAGGUAUUCCUCAUUUAGAAUCUUUAGUAAUAAGAUGACAUAUACAAGUUAUCAGACAUCUUGUGUGAAGAUAAAUACAAAUACCAUUUCUACCACUUCCAAGAUUUUCAGCCUGGAUGAAUGGAAGAUUGAUGAUGCAACCACAGAAAUAGAGGAUGCUGAUUUUGGUAAAGGAAGUUAUUAUUUGAUUUGAUUUAGAUAUUUUGAUUUCAAGUAUUUAGAAGAUCACUGGGGAAGAUGUUCAGCAGGCUAUUGAAUUAUGGAUCUUUGAAGUAAAGUACUAGUUGGAAAUACAAAUUUGGGAGUCAUCUCUGUAGAGAUGAUACUUGGAGUGAUAGGAAAAGGAGUACCAAGGGAAAAGAAAAAAAAAAUAAAGGAAGAGAAGAAGAGAAGGAAGACAACAACCUUGGUUGGAGAAGUUGCCUGGCAUUCUGAUGGCAGAAAAGGCCCCAGGUAGUAUACUGUGAGUGAGCCUAGCUGCCCUUCCUAACAGUAUGCUUCAACAAUUGGUGUAUUGUUGAAAGAUGGCCAACUAGGAAGUUUCAGGCCCUUUUUCUUCCACAAAAGCAUCAAAUAAACAACUACACAAACUGAAAUAACUUUUUAGGAGCUCUGGAAAUGACUCAGUGAUCUGCACCAACCAAGGAAACACUUAGUGAAGAAAAAGCUACAUUGUAAAUGGUAGGAAAUUUCAUAGCAUUCUCUUCGCAUUUGACCCACCUCCUUCCCAGUGUGGCAUGGUGCAGUUGGGAGGAAGUAACCCAGUUCCUGGUUCCCUCAGGAAGAAGGAAAGGAAGAAGCAGAGUUUUUGUCUCACUUUAAUUGGAGCUCAGAGUUGAGAAUGGCAGCAUAGUUUGGGUCUCAGGCUAGAAGCUGUGGAAGGCAGUGGUGGGCAUCAUAGCACAUGGAAACUGCAGGGAGGGGACUGCAGUAAACAUUUGGUAUAAGAUUUUUGGGAGAGGGAUACAGUGGAACAUCUGAGCCCUGAGACGAAACUGGGGUUAAGACUGGGAAAUUAGGACAGUUCCAAACAGCUGGGGAAAAUCAGGAGAAAAAAAAAAAUCAUCCACACAGGCCCAAACACAAUUCACACCCAGAAAAUACCUGAGAAAAUGUUAAGCCUUUACUGUGGAUUAAUCUCAAGGCUAAUGGGCCUGCUGAUUAGUGAAUAUCACCCACACCAGGCUGCAAACUGGAAGAGGUGACUCUUUGUUCAGAUGCCUAGUUUUCAACAAUUACAAGGCAUACAAAGAAAUGAGAACAUGGCACUUUGAAAGGAGCAAAGUAAAUUUCCAAAAUCAGUACCUGAAGAAACACAUGUAUCUGACUUACUAGACAAAGACUUGAAAAUAACUGUGGUAAAUAUGCUCAAAGAGCUAAAGGAAAACAGAAUCAAAGAACUAAAGAAAAUUAGGAAAACAAUAAUACGAACAAAAUGAGAAAAUCAAAAACAAGAUUAAAAAUAUUUUUAAAAAGAACCAAAUUCUAACCGAAUAAUACAGUAAAUGAAUUGAAAAUUUCACUAGAGGCAUUCAAGAUCACAGAAGAAGGAAUCAGUAAACAUAAAGAUAGGUCUGUUGAAAGAUUGGAGACUGAGGAACAAAAAGAAGAAUGAAGAAGAAUUUGCAGAGCCUAAAGGACUUAAAGGACACUUUCAAGUGCAGCAAUAUAUGCACUGUGGGGGGAAGGAGAAAAAAAUUCUUUUGAAGAAAUAAAUUGUUUAAAUAAAUAAUAAAAACUUCUCAAGUUUGAGGAACAGCAAAUAUACAAAUUCGAAAAGCUCAACAAACUUCAUGUAGGAUAAAUCCAAAGAGCCCUACAUCAAGACAUAAUAUAAUCAAACUGUUGAAAGACAAAGAUAGAAUCUGGAAAGCAUCAAGAGGAAGGUGACUUAUCAUGUGCAAGGGAGCCCCAGUAAGACCGUCACUAGAUUUCACAGCAGAAACUUGAAGGCCAAAAGGCAAUUGCAUUAUAUAUUUAAAGU
rnacentral:lncRNA from 9 species